rnacentral:rRNA from 1 species
GACGAACGCUGGCGGCGUGCCUAAUACAUGCAAGUAGGACGCAGUUGCGAACGGGUGAGUAACGCGUAGGCAACUGCCUAUUAGAGGGGGAUAACUAUUGGAAACGAUAGCUAAUACCGCAUACUAGUAGAUGGACCUGCGUUGUAUUAGCUAGGCGGUUGGGUGAUGGCCUACCUAGGCAACGAUACAUAGCCGACCUGGAGAGGUGAUCGGCCAAACUUGGACUGAGGCACGGGCCCAAAUCCUACGGGAGGGCGCAGUAGGGAAACUUCGGCAAUUGGGGGAAACCUGACCGAGGAACGCCGCGGGGGUUAAAGAGGUUUUCGGGUCGUAAAACUCUGUUGUUAGGGGAGCGGUACUUGACCAGAAAGGGACGGCUAACUACGUGCCAGCAGCCGCGGUAAUAC